UCAAAAUUGAGGCACAAGAUUACGAGGCCCAGGAAAAUGAAUAAGGAAAUGGCACAUAUUAUUCAUUCGCUUCUUCCUCCAAGUAUGUGAGAAACUGCUUCAGUUGCUUUUCCAUCACUACUAAGAGCUUCUACCAUCAUUGUUCAUCAAAGCUUCGUCCACCAUUGCUCAAAGCUUCUUCCACCACUGCUCAGCUUCUUCAAUCACCGCUCAAAGCUUUUUCCUUACCGCACAAAGUUUCAACGUUGUCGUCAAUAACGUGUUUCAUCACCAUCGUGCUUGAUUGCUUCUUCACAAGUAAAUGAAUUAACAUGCCUUUUUUAAUUUUUUAAUUUUGUUUCAAAAUUUAGGAAAUAUGACUCUACGAAUAUCAAUCCCUAAUUUCAAC
rnacentral:lncRNA from 1 species